CCCCAGCCUGAUGAUAACUUAGUACUUUAGCAUGGUGCUCUUGAGACAGCUCUCUUCUGAGAGAAUAAAGAAGGGCCCCUUAGUUGAAAUGCAGGACUGAAGCUCUUCAUAACCACCGGGCAACUGUUACGAGGGAAAAAGAAAGUUAAAAGAGACGAGAACAAAAGGGGCUAUCCUUGUUACAAGGCUCUGGUUCUAGACCUCAAAAACUCCUCUCCCCUAAUCUUUUUAUUCUUUUUCUCUGUAUAGCCCCAGGUUUUGACAGUGAAAUCUCUUGUCUUUCUGGGCAAGCAUAUUCAGUGCCAUUUAAGAAAUUCCCGUGGAUCUGCCUUUUUCAUGAUCUCUUCGUACACAGAAAAAGAGGAAGAAUAAAGAAAGAAGCCCCAGAAGUAUAAGGAAGAUUGCAACCACUAGCUGACUUUGAUUCAUCAUGGACGGACCCAAUGGUAGUCAUCCAGGCUGGUGGGCCAGCCCUGAAGAGGACCAAGAAGACAACCAACCACUCCGAGUUGCAAAACCUGAUUCUGAACAAAGCAAAUUCAACACUGCUGAAGUUUAGUUUCUCGUGGAUUAAAACUUGAUCUCUUUACCUUUGGA